CCACGGGAUAUUAGGCACUCUUAUUUAUUUUCGAAAAUAUUUUGAUUGACAUAACCGAUUUUUUGUUUUGUUGAUAUCUUAUUGAUAUUGUGAAUUGUUUUAUGUAUGUUGAUUGAAUUUAAUUUGGAUUGGAUUUUGCAACUGAUUUCGUGCAACCUACAACGUUUCAUUUAAAAAGAAAUCAACACUGAAACUAUACUAGUUUUCUUGAAUAAAAGGAAAAAAGUGAACAUUUAAAGGCCAUUUUUAAAGUGUGAGUGGUAUGGACGAAUCAGUUAUUUUCAUAGAUGAGACACCUUCUGGUCAGCCGCGACGGAGGAGACAUUAUUUCCGAGAACGUUUUAGAGAAAGAAAUAAUAUACCAAGCAAUAAUAGUGAUAGACAACGUAUAUCUGUUAUUGACCUUACUAAUAGUGCUGAUACUCCUGAGACUGAUGUGGAACACGAAAGGCAACAUGAAAUAAGUGAUAACUUAAGACGAGAUGAUCAGAGUCAGGAACAAAGUGAGACAAUGAGCGAAACUAUUAGACCUCGACUCAGUGACGUUUAUAGCAAGCUAUGCUGUCCUAUAUGUCUCGAAAGUCUUUUGAAGAGCGACGCGAUACCUAUGGCGUUGAAAUGCGGUCAUAUCUUCUGUUCAGCAUGUACUGAACUUAUAAUAUUACAAAACCCCAAACAGUGUUCACUUUGCAAACGUAAAGUGUGUGGCAAACCAAUUCGAUUGUACAUUUAGAUAUUGUUUUUAUUUAUUUUUAUAUGCAUAGGUGAUUUAAUAUUUUUGGGACUUUUCAGUGAUAUUCGGUCCUUUCCUAGCCUUAAUCCUUUUCUAGUUUUUUACUAUUAAUAAAAUGUAUAAGCAAACA